rnacentral:rRNA from 1 species
GACGAACGCUGGCGGCGUGCUUAACACAUGCAAGUCGAACGGAAAGGCCCUGCUUUUGUGGGGUGCUCGAGUGGCGAACGGGUGAGUAACACGUGAGUAACCUGCCCUUGGCUUUGGGAUAACUUCAGGAAACUGGGGCUAAUACCGGAUAGGAGCUCCUGCUGCAUGGUGGGGGUUGGAAAGUUUCGGCGGUUGGGGAUGGACUCGCGGCUUAUCAGCUUGUUGGUGGGGUAGUGGCUUACCAAGGCUUUGACGGGUAGCCGGCCUGAGAGGGUGACCGGCCACAUUGGGACUGAGAUACGGCCCAGACUCCUACGGGAGGCAGCAGUGGGGAAUAUUGCACAAUGGGCGGAAGCCUGAUGCAGCAACGCCGCGUGCGGGAUGACGGCCUUCGGGUUGUAAACCGCUUUCGCCUGUGACGAAGCGUUAGUGACGGUAAUGGGUAAAGAAGCACCGGCUAACUACGUG